rnacentral:rRNA from 1 species
GAGUUUGAUCAUGGCUCAGAUUGAACGCUGGCGGCAUGCCUUACACAUGCAAGUCGAACGGCAGCAUGAUCUAGCUUGCUAGAUUGAUGGCGAGUGGCGAACGGGUGAGUAAUACAUCGGAACGUGCCCUGUAGUGGGGGAUAACUAGUCGAAAGAUUAGCUAAUACCGCAUACGACCUGAGGGUGAAAGUGGGGGACCGCAAGGCCUCAUGCUAUAGGAGCGGCCGAUGUCUGAUUAGCUAGUUGGUGGGGUAAAGGCCCACCAAGGCGACGAUCAGUAGCUGGUCUGAGAGGACGAUCAGCUACACUGGGACUGAGACACGGCCCAGACUCCUACGGGAGGCAGCAGUGGGGAAUUUUGGACAAUGGGCGAAAGCCUGAUCCAGCAAUGCCGCGUGUGUGAAGAAGGCCUUCAGGUUGU